rnacentral:rRNA from 1 species
UUAAAUUGAAGAGUUUGAUCAUGGCUCAGAUUGAACGCUGGCGGCAGGCCUAACACAUGCAAGUCGAACGGUAACAGGAAGCAGCUUGCUGCUUUGCUGACGAGUGGCGGACGGGUGAGUAAUGUCUGGGAAACUGCCUGAUGGAGGGGGAUAACUACUGGAAACGGUGGCUAAUACCGCAUAACGUCGCAAGACCAAAGAGGGGGACCUUCGGGCCUCUUGCCAUCAGAUGUGCCCAGAUGGGAUUAGCUUGUUGGUGAGGUAACGGCUCACCAAGGCGACGAUCCCUAGCUGGUCUGAGAGGAUGACCAGCCACACUGGAACUGAGACACGGUCCAGACUCCUACGGGAGGCAGCAGUGGGGAAUAUUGCACAAUGGGCGCAAGCCUGAUGCAGCCAUGCCGCGUGUAUGAAGAAGGCCUUCGGGUUGUAAAGUACUUUCAGCGGGGAGGAAGGUGUUGCGGUUAAUAACCGCAGCAAUUGACGUUACCCGCAGAAGAAGCACCGGCUAACUCCGUGCCAGCAGCCGCGGUAAUACGGAGGGUGCAAGCGUUAAUCGGAAUUACUGGGCGUAAAGCGCACGCAGGCGGUCUGUCAAGUCGGAUGUGAAAUCCCCGGGCUCAACCUGGGAACUGCAUUCGAAACUGGCAGGCUUGAGUCUUGUAGAGGGGGGUAGAAUUCCAGGUGUAGCGGUGAAAUGCGUAGAGAUCUGGAGGAAUACCGGUGGCGAAGGCGGCCCCCUGGACAAAGACUGACGCUCAGGUGCGAAAGCGUGGGGAGCAAACAGGAUUAGAUACCCUGGUAGUCCACGCCGUAAACGAUGUCUACUUGGAGGUUGUGCCCUUGAGGCGUGGCUUCCGGAGCUAACGCGUUAAGUAGACCGCCUGGGGAGUACGGCCGCAAGGUUAAAACUCAAAUGAAUUGACGGGGGCCCGCACAAGCGGUGGAGCAUGUGGUUUAAUUCGAUGCAACGCGAAGAACCUUACCUGGUCUUGACAUCCACAGAACUUUCCAGAGAUGGACUGGUGCCUUCGGGAACCGUGAGACAGGUGCUGCAUGGCUGUCGUCAGCUCGUGUUGUGAAAUGUUGGGUUAAGUCCCGCAACGAGCGCAACCCUUAUCCUUUGUUGCCAGCGAUUAGGUCGGGAACUCAAAGGAGACUGCCAGUGAUAAACUGGAGGAAGGUGGGGAUGACGUCAAGUCAUCAUGGCCCUUACGACCAGGGCUACACACGUGCUACAAUGGCGCAUACAAAGAGAAGCGACCUCGCGAGAGCAAGCGGACCUCAUAAAGUGCGUCGUAGUCCGGAUUGGAGUCUGCAACUCGACUCCAUGAAGUCGGAAUCGCUAGUAAUCGUGGAUCAGAAUGCCACGGUGAAUACGUUCCCGGGCCUUGUACACACCGCCCGUCACACCAUGGGAGUGGGUUGCAAAAGAAGUAGGUAGCUUAACCUUCGGGAGGGCGCUUACCACUUUGUGAUUCAUGACUGGGGUGAAGUCGUAACAAGGUAACCGUAGGGGAACCUGCGGUUGGAUCACCUCCUUACCUUAAAGAAGC